UGGGGAAUUUUGGACAAUGGGCGAAAGCCUGAUCCAGCAAUGCCGCGUGUGUGAAGAAGGCCUUCGGGUUGUAAAGCACUUUGUCCGGAAAGAAAUCCUUGGCUCUAAUACAGUCGGGGGAUGACGGUACCGGAAGAAUAAGCACCGGCUAACUACGUGCCAGCAGCCGCGGUAAUACGUAGGGUGCAGGCGUUAAUCGGAAUUACUGGGCGUAAAGCGUGCGCAGGCGGUUUGCUAAGACCGAUGUGAAAUCCCCGGGGCUCAACCUGGGAACUGCAUUGGUGACUGGGCAGGCUAGAGUAUGGCAGAGGGGGGUAGAAUUCCACGUGUAGCAGUGAAAUGCGUAGAGAUGUGGAGGAAUACCGAUGGCGAAGGCAGCCCCCUGGGCCAAUACUGACGCUCAUGCACGAAAGCGUGGGGAGCAAACAGGAUUAGAUACCCUGGUAGUCCACGCCCUAAACGAUGUCAACUAGUUGUUGGGGAUUCAUUUCCUUAGUAACGUAGCUAACGCGUGAAGUUGACCGCCUGGGGAGUACGGUCGCAAGAUUAAAACUCAAAUGAAUUGACGGGGUCAUAGCUGUUUCCU
rnacentral:rRNA from 1 species